rnacentral:rRNA from 1 species
GAUGAACGCUGGCGGCGUGCUUAACACAUGCAAGUCGAACGGAAAGGCCCAAGCUUGCUUGGGUACUCGAGUGGCGAACGGGUGAGUAACACGUGGGUAAUCUGCCCUGCACUUCGGGAUAAGCCUGGGAAACUGGGUCUAAUACCGGAUAGGACCACAUUUUGGAUGGUGUGGUGGAAAGUUUUUCGGUGUGGGAUGAGCUCGCGGCCUAUCAGCUUGUUGGUGGGGUAAUGGCCUACCAAGGCGUCGACGGGUAGCCGGCCUGAGAGGGUGUACGGCCACAUUGGGACUGAGAUACGGCCCAGACUCCUACGGGAGGCAGCAGUGGGGAAUAUUGCACAAUGGGCGCAAGCCUGAUGCAGCGACGCCGCGUGGGGGAUGACGGCCUUCGGGUUGUAAACUCCUUUCGCUAGGGACGAAGCGUUAUGUGACGGUACCUGGAGAAGAAGCACCGGCUAACUACGUG